rnacentral:ribozyme from 1 species
CCAAACGCUCCUUAACUACCUUGAUGGAAAAGUCUGAGAAGGGUGAACAGAUAUUUGAUACGGAAUGGACAGCAGGUAGAGUUGGUCGUCCCCCUGCUAUUAGUCCCGAUGAAAUUAAUGCAAUUGUGGAAAGGAUUCAACGUGAAGACCUGCGAGUACAUGAUAAUGAUGAUGUAAAUCAACUUUUGGUGGAUGCAUUGAGGAAGAAGGGUGUGGUUGAUCAGAAAAAGUUGACGUUUUGUAGUGCGACGAUUGCUGAUUAUUUUACGGUGUUGAAGAGCAAAUUGAGCCCUUUGUAUUGGAAG